UACGUAUGUCGCAAGCGUUAUCCGGAAUUAUUGGGCGUAAAGCGCGUCUAGGCGGCCUUUAAGUCUGAUGUGAAAUGCGGGGCUCAACUCCGUAUUGCGUUGGAAACUGGAAGGCUAGAGUAUCAGAGAGGUGGGCGGAACUACAAGUGUAGAGGUGAAAUUCGUAGAGAUUUGUAGGAAUGCCGAUGACGAAGGUAGCUUACUGGACAAAUACUGACGCUGAAGCGCGAAAGCUAGGGGAGCAAACAGG
rnacentral:rRNA from 1 species